UCUUAAAAAACUUAACAGCCGCACUCAGAGUCGCUAAAUGAUUACUUAAGGAGUCCCUCAGUAAAGAUUUGAAAAACUUCCCUCUCAGAGUCAGUUAAUGAUUCGUUAACGGCAUUUAAUGAACAUUAAA